GACGUUUUGCGAAAUCGAAGGUUAGAAGAAAUAAAAAAAAAAGAAAAUAGAUAGCAGAAGAAGAAGAAGAACAAGAAAAAGAAGAAGAAAUAGAAGAAGAAGAAGAAAUUGUAGCGCGAAACACACCAGCUCACAAAUAGUCACGUCAUACACACGCAAACAUACACAAGCAGAAACAAUAAAGUUCAUACUGCGCGUAGGUAGAAAAAAAAAGAUCCUUUAUAGAAAGAAACCCGAGUACAUAUUGGUGUUAGAAGAGAAAGAUAAGGAGAAAGAAGAUAAAACAAAGAAGUAGAGCCUUAGAGUGUGCGGAAUAAUUUUAAAGCGCAGGCUGCUUAUUUAGUGGAAAAACAAAAACAAAGUAAAGCUGAAACUAGUAAUAACAAAAAGAGACAAAGUCAAAGCGUGUAUAGAAUUGAUCGAUAGAGAGAAAGAUUUCCAUACGGCAAGGAGAAGAGAAAAUCGAAUAUCAAGCGACGUCGGCGAUAGAUGAAAAAAUACCGAGCAAGAAUUGCUUGAAAAUAAAAAAAAAGAAAAGAAAAAACGAAACAAAAAAAAAAAAAAACAAUCCUCAAUUUACGCGACCAUUGAAAAGUAUGAAAAUUUUCCAUAAUAUAUUAAUGCGAUAUUAAAAAGCGAUACAAAGAGGAGGAAUAGAAAACCGUACGUAAUCAUCACAAAUCUAAAAUUUUGUUAAAAAAAUUGUUAAACCCUGAUGAAACAGCGUUGUAAAAAAUUUAAAUUCCCACCGAAGCUAAUCAAUUUCACAAACCGUUCACCAAAAAUCGCUUGACCGUUUGAAUAAUUUUUUGAAAAAACGUCGCAAAGUGCUUAUAGUUUUAAAAAUUUAUCUUUCCUCGUCGUUUCUCCCCGUCUCGUUUUUCAACUUGAAACAAGAAAUAAGGAAGAAAGACAAGUGAGAGAGAGAGAGAGAGAGAGAGAGAGAGAGAGAGAGAGAGUGAGAGAGAGUGGGAAAUAAAACAUCAAAGAUUCGUUGAAAAAAAUUCGAAAGAAUUAGUAAAUCCGCAGAGCGUCAAGAGAGGGGGAAAAAAAAAAAAAAAAAAAAAAAAAAAACAAACGAAUCGGGAAAAACGAAACGCCAAAUCAUUCGAAUGGAGUUACACCUGAUUCUGGACGGUGGCGUUGGUACACUUAACGACGAGAUGUGGCUCGAAAAUUCAUCAUCGCCACCGUACGACGAAGAUCAUGAUCUACAAUCACCGAGUCACGAAAGUAUAGCCGGAACGAUCACCGUACAGCAGACGGGACUUCAACGAUCUAAUGGUUACAACAGUCCGGCUAUGAUAAAUUGGGAGGAUAAAACCGAAUCGCCAAGUUAUUCACCAAUUCCAUCCGAACAAACAGUAUCAGCAACAGUGACAGCAGCCGGGGUCGCAACAUCGUCGUCGUCGUCGUCGUCGUCGUCGUCGUCGUCGUCAUCGUCAGCAUCGUCAUCAUCACCGACGGCGGAUCCAACCGCCGGAUCCGGAUUGAUAAUAAUUCGUUCGAGCAGUUCGUCGCCCCGUGAAUUUCAUCAACAAUCUGGACCGUUGCAACAACAACAGCGGCACGUGAAUAACGACAACAACGUAUCCUCCCACCCAAACAGCAACAACAACAACAACAACAAUCGUAAUCAUCAUCAUCAUCAGAGACAACAGAUCGUACUGCAAGAAAAUUCAUUGAAACGUCGUUCGGUCGAUAACAUUCAACAAAUCGGUGAACAUAUCGAACAUAAAUUGGUAAAAAAAGACACCUCGCUGAGCAACGACUCGAGACAGGGAUGGUCGACGCAGGUCGAAGAUCUCGCCGAGCAUCUAGCCGCCGAUUUCGAUGGUUCGCUUUCGGUUUUAGCGGCAUCGGAUUUGGCCACCGCGGUAGCAUCGUACAACAUGGGCGAGGCGUUGCUGGGCUUGCCGUCAUUGACAGUUUUCAAACAGGAAGCACCGUCGCCCGAAAAUCAUCACAACAAUCCAAGUUUGAAUCAUGUGUCGCAACGCGGUAUCAACAUUCAAACCGGAAACGGAUCGUCCGUCGUCGGAGUCAUGGAGGCUGACAGUAACAACAACAACAACAACGGUCACAACGGUACGGGACAAACGGCCAACAGUCUUCACCAGCUCUUGUACUCGAACGACAACGAAUACUCGGCGACAUCCGGUGUCGGUAAUCAGGUGUCAUCGUCGCAGCAGGGAAUCGAGUGCAACGAAGAUUGCAGAUUCCAGUACGUAUUGGCGGCUGCAACCAGUAUAGCGACAAAAAUAAACGAGGAAACUUUGACCUAUCUGAAUCAGGGUCAAUCGUACGAGAUCAAGCUGAAGAAACUGGGUGAUUUGUCCGGUUAUCGUGGAAAAAUUUUAAAGGGAUACCCGACAUUUUUGUUCCAGUCCUCGAUAAGGAUAUGCUUUCACGAGCGCCGCCUCCAGUACACCGAACGCGAACAAAUGCUCGCCUGGCAGAGAACGAGGCCCGGCGAACGUCUCCUCGAAGUCGACGUACCCCUGAGCUACGGCAUAGUCGACAUCCGUCAGCCCUCGCCCUCCAGCAACGUCGUGGAAUUCAUGUGGGACCCAACCAAGGAGGUCGGGGUUUACAUCAAGGUCAACUGCAUAAGCACGGAAUUCACCCCUAAGAAACACGGGGGUGAGAAAGGCGUCCCCUUCCGCAUCCAGGUGGAGACGCGCGUAGCGGGAGGAACGAGGCUUCACGCAGCCUCCUGCCAAGUCAAAGUAUUCAAGCUGAAGGGAGCCGACCGUAAGCAUAAACAGGAUCGUGACAAGGUGUUCAGGAGGCCUCCCCACGAACAGGACAAGUACCAGCCCAGCUACGACUGCACCGUACUUUCGGACAUUCCACUCGAUUGUUUGACGUCGCCGAGUCCAGAUCCACAAAACGACGGCAGUCCCUUUGCUCCGAGCGAUGCAGCAACGCCGCAGAGUCGAGCAGCAAUGGGAGGCAGUUCGUCACCGGUCGCAGGUCCGAUACCGAUGUCGGUAAAUUCGUCAGGAGUAUUACCACUGGUAUCCGGAAACCCGGAAACGGCAAAAGAAUCUACAAGCCCAGCAUCGUCCGUACCGUCACCGGCCACCAUUUUACCCGAACAAUCUUGCGUCGAAAUGAACACAACGACGUUGCCGACGUCCUUAUCGCCGGAGGCAAACGCGUCACAGACGAGCAGCUGGUUGAGAGCCGGUCGUUUCCACUCGUUCGAAUCAACGUUCGCUAGUUUCUCAGCAUCGGACAUACUGAGAUUAUCGCGCGACGAUUUGAUCCAGAUAUGCGGCCUGGCCGACGGUAUCCGGCUGUUCAACGCCCUGCACUCGAAGCCACCCUCGCCGAGAUUGACCCUCUACCUUUCGGCGGAAGGUAGUGGCGCCCUCUGGAGGGCCGUUUACCUCGACACCCUGACCAGCAGCGCCCUAGCCGUCAAAGUUCACACCGCCCUCGGAGCCCACGGACCCCCCCAAGACAGACUGCACUCGGUGGUCAUACUCGGACCCCAGGGAAUCCACGUUCUCGUGACCGACGAUCUCGUCGCGAACAUGAAGGACGAGAGUAUGUACGUCGUAGAGACCGUAAAAGACGCGAACAGCGAUCGUUACAAAAUACUUCUGAAACCAUCGUCGCGUUGAGAAUAACAUCCAUAGUUGUUUCACCCCUUAAUAACGAUAGAGAUCUGCUGCGUAUACCUGAAUCUUCCGAACAUCCAAAUCGACCACGAUUAUAAACGAGAAUUCAGAUGACGAGACGAACAGAUAAAGAAGAACACAACGGCGAUUUCAGUAUUACAAUGCUCGAAGGGAAGAAUAAUAAUUGGACGGCAGCUGGUCUUCUGUGACGGUAUAAUAAAUAUGUGAUAAAGCGAGCUUAUAUUGCAUGCCCUGAUGCAUGUAUAAAAAUAUCGGCAAGGAAUUACGAUUUAUAUGUUACAUGAUAAAUCAAGUUCUAAAUAUGAUAUAUGAAAAGUUAAAGAUAUUCAAGUAGCGCCUAUAAUUGUUGAAAAUUAUUAUACGGUAUUGAUCUAUAUCGAAAAACGAAGAAAGAAAAAAAAAAUAAUUUGAUUACAAAAUAUUUGAAUUUACCUUAUUGCAUUAUUACAUUAUUGGCAUUCGAGUUGUAGUUUAAAAUGCGAAAAACGAAAAUCGUGGUUAUAUCGUGCAAGUGGAAAUUUAUUAAGGCGAAGCAUCCGGUGUUGCUUUAAAUAAAAAAAGAAUACCCGAUAUUUAUGUUCACAUAACUCUACUAGAGUAUAUAAUAUACAUAUAUAUGCUUUUAUAAUUUAUUAUCAUUAUUAUUAUUAUUAUUAUUAUAUAUUCUUGGCUUCCACGUGCACAUACAUACAUAUAUAUAUAUAUCUUGUAUAGGUAUAUACGCAAAAUAGAUAUGAUUCUACACCGUUAUUAACAAAUCGCACACAAACACGUCAUACGCCAACUUGUUACUACUUUUUACAUAUUUAUCGAACUAUAAAUAGGCAUGUAUGUAUGUAUAGUACAUACUUAUACAUGGUUGCUUGACUGACCGGUUUUUCAUUUUUCAUGAAACAAUUUUGAAAUUAUAAAGAUGUAAGAAAAAAAAAUAAAACAACCAAAAAUAGUCUCUAUAUUAUUAAAAUUGGAUAAUAUAAAUAAAGGGACACGAUGCGUGUUGUAACAUGUCGCCAAUUACACUUGCUUCCUACAAUAUCGUGUCAACGUUAAUAAUGAGAAAAUCAAAAUAGUAGUAAGACAAAAAAAACAAAAAAAACAAAAAAAUAAGUCCCCCGCUGUAGUGCCGAUAAUUUAAA
rnacentral:misc_RNA from 1 species